GGGGUCGUGGUCUAGCUUGGUCUAAGAUACGUGGUUUGGGUCCAUGUGGUCGUGGGUUCAAAUCCCACCGACCCCA
rnacentral:tRNA from 1 species